AAUAUUGGACAAUGGGGGCAACCCUGAUCCAGCCAUGCCGCGUGUGUGAAGAAGGUCUUCGGAUUGUAAAGCACUUUAAGUUGGGAGGAAGGGCUUUAGGUUAAUACCCUGAAGUUUUGACGUUACCAACAGAAUAAGCACCGGCUAACUCUGUGCCAGCAGCCGCGGUAAUACAGAGGGUUCAAGCGUUAAUCGGAAUUACUGGGCGUAAAGCGCGCGGAGGGGGGUCAGGAAGAUGGGUGUGAAAUCCCCGGGCUUAACCUGGGAACUGCCUUCAUAACUGCUGAGCUAGAGUACGGGAGAGGGGAGUGGAAUUUCCUGGGUAGCGGUGGAAUGGGUAGAUAUAGGAAAGAACACCAGGGGCGAAGGCGAAUACCUGGAAUGAUAAUGACACUGAGGUGCGAAAGCGGGGGGAGCAAAC
rnacentral:rRNA from 1 species